rnacentral:rRNA from 1 species
ACCAACAGGGAUUGCCCUAGUAACGGCGAGUGAAGCGGCAACAGCUCAAAUUUGAAAUCUGGCUCUUUCAGAGUCCGAGUUGUAAUUUGCAGAGGGCGCUUUGGCUUUGGCAGCGGUCCAAGUUCCUUGGAACAGGACGUCACAGAGGGUGAGAAUCCCGUACGUGGUCGCUAGCUAUUGCCGUGUAAAGCCCCUUCGACGAGUCGAGUUGUUUGGGAAUGCAGCUCUAAAUGGGAGGUAAAUUUCUUCUAAAGCUAAAUAUUGGCCAGAGACCGAUAGCGCACAAGUAGAGUGAUCGAAAGAUGAAAAGCACUUUGGAAAGAGAGUCAAACAGCACGUGAAAUUGUUGAAAGGGAAGCGCUUGCAGCCAGACUUGCUUGCAGUUGCUCAUCCGGGCUUUUGCCCGGUGCACUCUUCUGUAGGCAGGCCAGCAUCAGUUUGGGCGGUGGGAUAAAGGUCUCUGUCACGUACCUCUCUUCGGGGAGGCCUUAUAGGGGAGACGACAUACCACCAGCCUAGACUGAGGUCCGCGCAUCUGCUAGGAUGCUGGCGUAAUGGCUGUAAGCGGCCCGUCUUGAAACACGGACCAAGGAGUCUAACAUCUAUGCGAGUGUUUGGGUGUCAAGCCCGAGCGCGUAAUGAAAGUGAACGGAGGUGGGAACCCGCAAGGGUGCACCAUCGACCGAUCCUGAAGUUUACGGAAGGAUUUGAGUAAGAGCAUGGCUGUUGGGACCCGAAAGAUGGUGAACUAUGCUUGAAUAGGGUGAAGCCAGAGGAAACUCUGGUGGAGGCUCGCAGCGGUUCUGACGUGCAAAUCGAUCGUCAAAUUUGGGCAUAGGGGCGAAAGACUAAUCGAACUAUCUAGUAGCUG